rnacentral:pre_miRNA from 1 species
CAUAUACUCCCUCCGUCUCAAAAAUUUUGUCUUACAUUUGUCUAGAUACGAAUGUAUCUAAUACUAAAACAUGACUUGAUACAUCCAUAUUUAGACAAAUGUAAGACAAGAAUUUUAGGACGAAGGGAGUACACA